AGUGAACGCUGGCGGUAGGCCUAACACAUGCAAGUCGAACGGCAGCACAGUAAGAGCUUGCUCUUACGGGUGGCGAGUGGCGGACGGGUGAGGAAUACAUCGGAAUCUACUUUUUCGUGGGGGAUAACGUAGGGAAACUUACGCUAAUACCGCAUACGACCUACGGGUGAAAGCAGGGGAUCUUCGGACCUUGCGCGAUUGAAUGAGCCGAUGUCGGAUUAGCUAGUUGGCGGGGUAAAGGCCCACCAAGGCGACGAUCCGUAGCUGGUCUGAGAGGAUGAUCAGCCACACUGGAACUGAGACACGGUCCAGACUCCUACGGGAGGCAGCAGUGGGGAAUAUUGGACAACGGGCGCAAGCCUGAUCCAGCCAUACCGCGUGGGUGGAGAAGGCCUUCGGGUUGUAAAGCCCUUUUGUUGGGAAAGAAAAGCAGCAGGUUAAUACCCCGCUGUUCUGACGGUACCCAAAGAAUAAGCACCGGCUAACUUCGUG
rnacentral:rRNA from 1 species